UGGCUGCCUUUGAGUUCCCAUUGUGCCUGCUCUGUGGUGCUGAGGGUUAGCUCCACAGUGGCACAUGUGUUCAAGCUUAAUUAGGGUGGCCUGGCUAUCCUGGGCAGUCCUUUCAACCACUAGCCACACGU